rnacentral:lncRNA from 1 species
AGUUCGAGCUUCCUGGCUGCUUUGUUUACCUAAUCAAGCCUGGGCAAUGGCGGGCGCCCCUCCCCCAGCCUCGCUGCCGCCUUGCAGUUUGAUCUCAGACUGCUGUGCUAGCAAUCAGCGAGACUCCGUGGGCGUAGGACCCUCCGAGCCAGGUGCGGGAUAUAUUCUCGUGGUGCGCCGUUUUUUAAGCCCGUCGGAAAGGCGCAGUAUUUGGGUAGGAGUGACCCGAUUUUCCAGGUGCCGUCCGUCACCCCUUUCUUUGACUCAGAAAGGGAACUCCCUGACCCCUUGCGCUUCCCAAGUGAGGCAAUGCCUCGCCCUGCUUCGGCUCGCGCAUGGUGCUCGCUCCCACUGACCUGCGCCCACUGUCUGGCACUCCCUAGUGAGAUGAACCCGGUACCUCAGCUGGAAAUGCAGAAAUCACCCGUCUUCUGCGUCGCUCACGCUGGGAGCUGUAGACUGGAGCUGUAGACAGGAGCUGUUCCUAUUCGGGCAUCUUGGCUCCUCCUUGACAAGCUUGAAGGUGAGCACCUCGAAGGGCUUCUUUUUAUGUUGAAAGGCACGGGUUUGCAUGGCGGUUCAUCAGAGGUCAAUACCCCAGUUUGAGAAAGUCCACUGUGGGGAGGAAAGAGAGACUUAAACAAGCCCUGGAAAAACAAAGAAUGGAACACCCCUCCGCUGACUUCAACCAACUGCCUGCUGAUGCGGCCUGACUCCCAGCCCUUUUUGCAGUUUUGAAGUGACAAACUGACUAGGCUACAAAGUAUUCAACCAUGGGCUGGUUCUGGCUGGUUCACCGAGGCUGUGUACAAAGUGUCUUCAUGUCCUGUGUUUCACCUUUUAACAUACAGAACCUAAUUUUACUGCAUUUUAAUGUUAAUUCUCCACUCGAAGGUGAACAUGGGAUGUAUGUAACACAUAUGUUUGCUUAUCAAGCACACAUAUGACCCCCUUUCAUGAAUAUUCAUAGUUCCCCCUGUGACCUGUUGAAUAUGUCUGUUUAGCCAACCUGUUUGGCAUAAAACUCCUAUCCCACCCUAUCUCCCUCAAAGUACCUGUUUGUGGUCUCAGCUGGAGGUGCCACUUCCCAGCCUGCAGUUUGCAACCCUUCUCAAGAAAUAAAGUCUUCCUUUCCAAGUUUA